UGCCAUGAAAAGGCGACGCUGGGAAGUGCGCGUGGCAGUUGGCGCAGUCACGCGAGCGGAGUCUUCGGGUUGCGGGUCCUCUGGCUGCGCUGGGAGUGAUCCGGCUGUGCAGCGCUGGCUGGGGCCGCUGGACGCCGGCCAUGAACUCCGGAGCCGCGUGAGUCUGGGGUCCCAGUCUGCAUUGACCCGGGAUCAGUAAACCCAGCACGGUGGAGUAAAGGAAGCAGCUACCACCGAGCAUAUCUGAGGCGAUGGGGGCGGAUCUGCCCAAGCUUCAGCUGAAGAACGAAUAGGCACGAAGGCGUGAAGGAAUCAGUCAUCUUGGCGGUGCUCGUGCGCUUCAUACUAAGUCCGAAGCAUGCAAAUCAAAAGCAACAAUGUACUGUCUGACAAGGAGAAGACUGAAAAAAAAAACAAACUGAAUGCCAAGAUUGAUGAAAAUGUGAGUUUGUAAACAAAGACAAGCUCUUAUGACCUGCAGGAGGAGGGAUUCAAUAACUUUGGCCAUUUAGAAAUUUCUAGUAGAUAAAGAUAUUCUACAAUUCGGCAGUUUCCCUCAGGAUAUGUACCCUGAAGCAGAGUACCCAGCUGUGCAAAAGAAAAAAGAAUGUUCAUUGCAUCGACUCUCCUAGUGGAGGUGGGGGAUGGGAGAAAAGCAAUCAAAAUGUCAUCUGCAGGAGAACUGACAAAUCAGUUUCCCGGUAGAAUACUCUGAGGUAAUAAAAAUAAAUUAACUUUUA